rnacentral:rRNA from 1 species
UUUUGGAGAGUUUGAUCUUGGCUCAGGACGAACGCUGGCGGCGUGCCUAAUACAUGCAAGUCGAGCGCGGGAAGCGAGUUGAUCCCUUCGGGGUGACGCUUGUGGAACGAGCGGCGGACGGGUGAGUAACACGUGGGUAACCUGCCUGUAAGACUGGGAUAACUCCGGGAAACCGGGGCUAAUACCGGAUAACACUUUGAACUGCAUGGUUCGAAGAUGAAAGGCGGCUUUUGCUGUCACUUACAGAUGGGCCCGCGGCGCAUUAGCUAGUUGGUGGG